rnacentral:rRNA from 1 species
UACGUAGGGGGCAAGCGUUGUCCGGAUUUAUUGGGCGUAAAGAGCGUGUAGGCGGCCUGAAAGGUCAGCUGUGAAAACUCGAGGCUCAACCUCGAGACGUCGGUUGAAACCAUCUGGCUAGAGUCCGGAAGAGGAGUGUGGAAUUCCCGGUGUAGCGGUGAAAUGCGCAGAUAUCGGGAAGAACACCCGCGGCGAAGGCGGCACUCUGGGACGGUACUGACGCUGAGACGCGAAAGCGUGGGGAGCGAACAGG